AUCAAGUGUCUUAAGGGCCUUU
rnacentral:rRNA from 1 species